rnacentral:rRNA from 1 species
AGAGUUUGAUCCUGGCUCAGAACGAACGCUGGCGGCAGGCCUAACACAUGCAAGUCGAACGCCCCGCAAGGGGAGUGGCAGACGGGUGAGUAACACGUGGGAACGUACCCUUUGGUUCGGGACAACUCCGGGAAACUGGAGCUAAUACCGGAUGAGCCCUAUGGGGGAAAGAUUUAUCGCCGAAGGAUCGGCCCGCGUCUGAUUAGCUAGUUGGCGGGGUAAUGGCCCACCAAGGCGACGAUCAGUAGCUGGUCUGAGAGGAUGACCAGCCACACUGGGACUGAGACACGGCCCAGACUCCUACGGGAGGCAGCAGUGGGGAAUAUUGGACAAUGGGCGCAAGCCUGAUCCAGCCAUGCCGCGUGAGUGAUGAAGGCCUUAGGGUUGUAAAGCUCUUUCGCCGAGGACGAUAAUGACGGUACUCGGAUAAGAAGCCCCGGCUAACUUCGUGCCAGCCGCCGCGGUAAUUC